rnacentral:rRNA from 1 species
GUGAGGAAUAUUGGUCAAUGGGCGCAAGCCUGAACCAGCCAUGCCGCGUGCAGGAAGACGGUCCUAUGGAUUGUAAACUGCUUUUAUUUGGGAAUAAACUCCGGUACGUGUACCGGCCUGAAGGUACCAAAUGAAUAAGCACCGGCUAACUCCGUGCCAGCAGCCGCGGUAAUACGGAGGGUGCAAGCGUUAUCCGGAAUCAUUGGGUUUAAAGGGUCCGCAGGCGGUCUUAUAAGUCAGUGGUGAAAGCCUACAGCUCAACUGUAGAACUGCCAUGGAUACUGUAGGACUUGAAUUCGAUCGAAGUGGGCGGAAUGUGACAUGUAGCGGUGAAAUGCUUAGAUAUGUCACAGAACACCGAUAGCGAAGGCAGCUCACUAGGUCUGGAUUGACGCUCAGGGACGAAAGCGUGGGGAGCAAACAGGAUUAGAAACCCCAGUAGUCC